AAUAGAGUGGCACCCAUCCACUACACAGAUAUCAGACCAUCCACUACACAGAUAUCAGACCAUCCACUACACAGAUAUCAGACCAUCCACUACACAGCCAUCAGACCAUCCACUACACAGCCAUCAGACCAUCCACUACACAGCCAUCAGACCAUCCACUACACAGCUAUCAGACCAUCCACUACACAGAUAUCAGACCAUCCACUACACAGAUAUCAGACCAUCCACUACACAGAUAUCAGACCAUCCACUACACAGAUAUCAGACCAUCCACUACACAGCCAUCAGACCAUCCACUACACAGAUAUCAGACCAUCCACUACACAGCUAUCAGACCAUCCACUACACAGCUAUCAGACCAUCCACUAUACAGAUAUCAUACCAUCCACUACACAGAUAUCAGACCAUCCACUACACAGCCAUCAGACCAUCCACUACACAGAUAUCAGACCAUCCACUACACAGCAUUCGACCAUCCACUACACAGCUAGCAGACCAUCCACUACACAGCCAUCAGACCAUCCACUACACAGAUAUCAUACCAUCCACUACACAGAUAUCAGACCAUCCACUACACAGCCAUCAGACCAUCCACUACACAGCCAUCAGACCAUCCACUACACAGCUAGCAGACCAUCCACUACACAGCCAUCAGACCAUCUACUACACAGCUAUCAGACCAUCCACUACACAGCCAUCAGACCAUCCACUACACAGCCAUCAGACCAUCCACUACACAGCUAUCAGACAUCCACUACACAGAUAUCAGACCAUCCACUACACAGAUAUCAGACCAUCCACUACACAGAUAUCAGACCAUCCACUACACAGCCAUCAGACCAUCCACUACACAGCCAUCAGACCAUCCACUACACAGCCAUCAGACCAUCCACUACACAGAUAUCAGACCAUCCACUACACAGAUAUCAGACCAUCCACUACACAGAUAUCAGACCAUCCACUACACAGCCAUCAGACCAUCCACUACACAGCCACCAGACCAUCCACUACACAGCCAUCAGACCAUCCACUACACAGCCAUCAGACCAUCCACUACACAGCCAUCAGACCAUCCACUACACAGCCAUCAGACCAUCCACUACACAGCCAUCAGACCAUCCACUACACAGCCAUGAGACCAUCCACUACACAGCCAUCAGACCAUCCACUACACAGCCAUCAGACCAUCCACUACACAGAUAUCAGACCAUCCACUACACAGCCAUCAGACCAUCCACUACACAGCCUUCAGACCAUCCACUACACAGCCAUCAGACCAUUCACUACACAGCCUUCAGACCAUCCACUACACAGCCAUCAGACCAUCCACUACACAGCCAUGAGACCAUCCACUACACAGAUAUCAGACCAUCCACUACACAGCUAUCAGACCAUCCACUACACAGCCAUCAGACCAUCCACUACACAGCCAUCAGACCAUCCACUACACAGCCAUCAGACCAUCCACUACACAGCCAUCAGACCAUCCACUACACAGAUAUCAGACCAUCCACUACACAGCUAGCAGACCAUCCACUACACAGCUAUCAGACCAUCCACUACACAGCCAUCAGACCAUCCACUACACAGCUAUCAGACCAUCUAAUUGUUAAGAAAAGCAUGCUGCUCUGCUUUUUCCAUGAGCUCAUCCCGUAG
rnacentral:lncRNA from 8 species